UGUCACAUCUUUCAAUAUGUAAAUAUUAAGGAAACAGACAUAAAAAUAAAAAAGAAAAAAGGGAAGAAAGAAAAUGCAAUACCAAUAUAUUCAGGGUUGUCAACAUUGCAGCAAAUUAUAGCAGGAUUACAUCGUUCUUCAUGACAAUUUAGUCUCACUCCUUCCAUGCCUUCUUUCAUGCAAGAAACUUACUGAUUUGACGUGGAAAUCCAACAGGAGUUAAAUAGAUGGAGGAAGUGAUUUAUAGGGGAAUCCUAAAUUUUGACCUGAGAGUCAAUUAAUAAGAAAAUAAUAAUUUUUCAACAACUAUAAGCAAGUAAUUAUGUUUUCAAUUCUAAUUGUUGUAGAAGGUGAAUUUUUCAGAUACUAAUGUAAUUGUUUAGCAAUUCUUUUA